rnacentral:misc_RNA from 1 species
GAUGAAGAACGUAGCGAAAUGCGAUACUUGGUGUGAAUUGCAGAAUCCCGUGAACCAUCGAGUCUUUGAACGCAAGUUGCGCCCGAAGCCACUAGGCCGAGGGCACGCCUGCCUGGGCGUCACACGCCGUUGCCCCCCCAUCUACUCCUUCGGGAUUGCGGGGGGGCGGAUGAUGGCCUCCCGUGCGCCUAGCCGCGCGGUUGGCAUAAAUACCAAGUCCUCGGCGACGCACGCCACGACAAUCGGUGGUUGCGAAACCUCGGUUGCCCGUCGUGUGCGUUCGUCGCGCAUCGAGGGCUCGAAAAAAUGCUCGGCUCCGGCUGGGCUUUCAACGCGACCCCAGGUCAGGCGGGGUUACCCGCUGAAUUUAAGCAUAUCCAAUAAGCGGAGGA